AAACUGGGGAUAAUUCCGGAUAGAUCAUAGAUGCUGGAAUGCGCUGUGAUCCAAAGCUAUUGUGCCUAAGGAUGGGUCUGCGGUCUAUCAGGUUGUAGUGGGUGUAAUGUACCUACUAGCCUACGACGGAUACGGGUUGUGGGAGCAAGAGCCCGGAGAUGGAUUCUGAGACAUGAAUCCAGGCCCCACGGGGCGCAGCAGGCGCGAGAACUUUACAAUGCGGGGAACCGCGAUAAGGGGACACCGAGUGCCAGCAUCCUAUGUUGGCUGUCCAUAUGUCUAAAUCACAUGUGUUAGCAAGGGCCGGGCAAGACCGGUGCCAGCCGCCGCGGUAACACCGGCGGCCCGAGUGGUGGCCACUAUUAUUGGGUCUAAAGGGUCCGUAGCCGGUUUGGUCAGUCUUCCGGGAAAUCUGACGGCUCAACCGUUAGGCUUUCGGGGGAUACUACCAGGCUUGGGACCGGGAGAGGUAAGAGGUACUACGGGGGUAGGAGUGAAAUCUUGUAAUCCCUGUGGGACCACCAGUGGCGAAGGCGUCUUACCAGAACGGGUCCGACGGUGAGGGACGAAAGCUGCGGGCACGAACCGGAUUAGAUACCCGGGUAGUCCCAGCUGUAAACUAUGCUCGCUAGGUGUCAGGGACGGUGC
rnacentral:rRNA from 1 species